rnacentral:rRNA from 1 species
UACGGAGGAUGCAAGCGUUAUCCGGAAUGAUUGGGCGUAAAGGGUCCGCAGGUGGCAAUGUAAGUCUGCUGUCAAAGAAUGAGGCUUAACCUCAUCAAGGCAGUGGAAACUACAUAGCUAGAGUACGGUCGGGGUAGAAGGAAUUCCUGGUGUAGCGGUGAAAUGCGUAGAGAUCAGGAGGAACACCGGUGGCGAAAGCGCUCUGCUGGACCUUAACUGACACUGAGGGACGAAAGCUAGGGGAGCGAAUGGG